CCCGGCCUGUCAGAUAGCUUAUCAGACUGGUGUUGGCUGUUAAGAUUGCAAGGCGACAACAGUCUGUAGGCUGUCUGACAUUUUGGG
ensembl:miRNA mir21-2 microRNA mir-21-2